GCGGAGCGGGACAGGAAAUGAGCUGGGAGCGGGCGCAGGGAAGGGGGCUUCCGGCCGGCCCCGAAGCCCCCGUGAUUCGCGCUGCCUGGAACUCCUUGCCAAGCCUCUCCGUUCGCUCACUGUAAAGUGGAGAGAACUAGUGCUGCCUAGCUGGGUCUUGGGGUCACCGCGAAGACUGAACGGAAAAACAGGUUGAAAUUUUUUCCAAUGAGUCAACAUGUCAUCACAUCAUCAAGACUCUUUUAGUGGCCGCUGAACUCCAUUAUGCAAAGGGAUUUUUGCCCAUUUAAUAGAAGUCCAUAACUAGUAUUUUGAAUUCACAACUUGUGAUUAAAAUGCAACGUUAUUUUUGUCUCUCAAAGCUGUUUUAAGAUAUAUUCAGUGUUGGUUACCUUCCCCUGCCCCUAGAUGAAAGUUGGGUAGAGCCCUUGUAUUUUCUGCUCAUUUUUAGGUAACUGAUACUCCUAUGGUAACUAAAUCUCAACCACAGCUUCAUUCCAAAAUUACAAUGUUGAAUACAAGAUAUAAACAAAUGCAUCAAACUUUACUUGAAAAUAAGACUUCAUCCCCCUUUCCUGCCUCAGGUCUCCAGAUGACCUUCCCAGCAGGGAUGCAGCUGGCUGAGGCUCACCACAGUAGAGGCCACCUCAAGACCCAGCCUGGGUGGAGGUGGGCCAGAAGUGGGGAGAAAAGAAGCAGGAGAUGGAGCACUUCUUCCCAGAUUUGAAUAGCUUUGAGCUUGCUGUGGACAGCAAGCCCAUGUGGCUCUCUCCUGGUUUCUUCAGCAUUUCCUAUUAAUGAAGACCUCUUUCCAGGGGAUUCUUCAGGUGGAUUCCAAGCUAUCACACUGCUUGUUUACAGCUCCUUCUCUGACCCUAGAAAUCUAGGGCUUACUCCAACCCCUUUAGAUGGAUCCCAAGAUGGCACCAUACUUUGUCCAAGAAAAACCACAGACAUCUCUUGCCCCAGUGACUCUGAGAAUGCAGCCCCCACCUCUCCCAUGAGCCCCCAUCCUGUCACAGGAUGGAACUUUAGCUUUCCCAGAGUGAGUCGAACUCCAGGCCUCUGGACUCCCUAACUGCAGCCUCUGGAAGGCUCCUCUGGGAAGCCCUCUCACUGGGUUUGAGAUGAAGGGGGUGGCACCCCCCACACUCCUCUCCAAAGAAAUUUCCUCACCCGUCCUGCCCCUGCAUUCUCUGACUCCGCAUUUUUAGCCAAAGGGACCAAAGGGUCCAGGCAGUCUAGAUAUUGCUUUGUAACUCACCCUAAGGAGACUUUGCCUCACCUUCACUUUGGAACUGAUGAUUAUUCACUUACUAUCUCAGCUGAAACUGCAGUUUAAAAAGCUGUUGUGCAGCCAAUUACUAACUAUGGUCUUGCACCCAGGGUCUUGGUCUAAAAUACACAAGUAAGCUCGCUCCUGGAGCCGGAAGCUGGCCAACUCAGUUGGCCAGGAAAUGUCUGCCAAGCAAAUUAGAACAAUUGAAAAGAGUGACAAGGGCUGAAUUAUAGGAAGCAAUCAUUUAAAGCACUAAAGCUGCCCAGCUUACCUCACUGAAGGACACGACAUGAGAAAACAUUGAGGCUAUGGUAGCAAUGGCCUAUUAUACUGACCCGGCUAUUCCUUCCUGCUCACCUGAUGGCUAUUUAACAGAAUUUGACAUAAUGAAAAUUUUAAGUGGAGUUGUUUUUGAAACAAAAUUGCUAUUUUCUUUGCUUUAGAAAAAUUGAAGAGGAAAAUAAAAUAUUGAU